rnacentral:rRNA from 1 species
UACGUAGGUGGCGAGCGUUAUCCGGAAUUACUGGGUGUAAAGGGAGCGCAGGCGGGGCGACAAGUCAGCUGUGAAAACUAUGGGCUUAACUCAUAGACUGCAGUUGAAACUGUUGCUCUUGAGUGGAGUAGAGGCAAGCGGAAUUCCGAGCGUAGCGGUGAAAUGCGUAGAUAUUCGGAGGAACACCAGUGGCGAAGGCGGCUUGCUGGGCUCUAACUGACGCUGAGGCUCGAAAGUGUGGGGAGCGAACAGGAUUA